GCAACUUGUGUUUUUUCGCCUUUUCUUUUCUUCAUAGGUAUGCAAAUUUCAAGAGGUUACUCCUUAGUAUAUUUAGGUUCGAAAGGGACAAUGCCAACACACUUAUUGAAUACUAUAGGUACUAUGGUACUGGAUUUUAAUGCUUAAAUGUCUUCUGUUGUACUUAUUGUUUUUAAUGUGAGAUUAUGAUUUAUGUAUCUUUACUUCAAUUAUGAGCAUGAGCGAUAAAAAAGCAGACUGAGCUUCAGCUUGAUGUGAAAGACCUGCUAAAGAGAAUUUCAGGACAUAUCCAAGCCAAGGAUGAUGCGUGUGCUAUGCUAAAAUGUUCUUUGUCUGCUCGGCUUCUUGCAUCAUUCUUAUAACAACUCGUGACAUCAUGUAGAUAAUGUUUGUGUCAGAUUCAUUGGCAAAAAUUAUACUGCUUGGGAGUUUCCAUUGGUGACUUUUCUCAGAGUAUAAUGGAGCGUGAAAAGCAGCUGAGCAUCUUUUAUCAAAAAACAAGGUCGGGCAACCCCUUUUCCAGCAAAGCUACUCGUGACAAAAGGCUGUAAAAGAAAAACGAUUUUUCUUCAAAUUUGGCACAGGCAAGAGUUAAGAUUAGUCUAUUCUGAUACUUUAACAUCAAUGCGGAUGUAUGAUGGUGUUGUCAGAAUCUUCCUAUAGGUAUAAGUGGAGUGUGAAAGAGUUGCAUAAAAUGCUUCAUAGGUGCAAUGAGCAACUUCAACAGUUCAGCCAUGUAAACAAGAGGCACUAGAUCAACAUGUAAAUAUCACUGAGAAAUAGGAGGAACUCUAGAAAAGGCUUGAGGCAAGUGACGAAGGACUAUGAAAAUCAUGUAACUUAUAUCUAUUUUAGAUCAGCAAAACAAUGAAUCGAUAGAUCGUACUUUCAAAGAAGUUGCUCAGCACUUCAACGAAGUAUUCUCUGAACUUGUGCAGGGUGGUCAUGGUCAUUUGGUUAUGAUGAAGAAAAAGAUGUUGAUCACGAAGAUGAUAAUUAUGACGAUGAUGGACGUCAUAAAGCAAAUCUAGAGGGAAAUACGUUAUUGUGAAAAUGAAGGAGGAGCUCACAUCUUUACUUGCAAGAGUCACUACAUUAAAGCAUGAUCUUCAUAAAUCUUGUCAAGAGGCCUUUAAUAAUCAUGAUCUAUGCUGCUAGUUAGAAAAGGUCAAGUUGUUGAAUUGAUGCAUUCAUUAGGGAAAAGUGGGAGGGGCAUGGCUAUUAUGUGCUUGAAAUGUGUAUUGUGCAGGACUGCUAAGAGAGUGUGUUUGGUGUGUAAGGAUUUUCUUAUCCAAAACAUGGAUAGCGCAACCCCAUACACCGAGCCCCUUUCAGUUCGAAAAUUAAUUGUGUUGGCAAGGUCCAAGCCUCCAUUAAUGCAGCGAUAUAAACUUGCUGAUAUGUGAAUUAAAUCAUCCUUGUGUUCCAGUCUAGCGGUGAUAAGAAAUAAAACAACAAAACAAAAGAUUAAUCCAUCUUGAGAAUUAGUUGCUGGUUUUUCAAGUUGGUUGUGCAUUGAAGAAGCUAUUCGAUGAUGGUGUAGUGAAGCGUGAAGAAUAGUGGAUCACCUCCAAACUCUGAUCCACUGGCCAGCAAGCAUGAAGAAGGAUUCUGUUGGCUAUGAAGGUUCCGCAGGUUCACAGAAGAUCAAGAUUGAGGUUCUCAAGAAUCCAAUUCUUAAAAUGAUUGCUGAGAAAUUAGGCAAGUCCUGGCACAAGCGGCUCUUCGGUGGGGACUACAAAUGGGCCACAGUGUGCUACCUAAAAGCAUAA